rnacentral:rRNA from 1 species
AGGAUGAACGCUGGCGGUGUGCCUAAUACAUGCAAGUCGAACGAAGCCCUCGGGCUUAGUGGCGGACGGGUGAGUAACACGUUGGUACCUACCCCGAAGUGGGGAAUAACUGCCCGAAAGGGUGGCUAAUACCGCAUAAUACCGCAAGGUUAAAGCGAGUAAUCGCGCUUCGGGAGGGGCCUGCGUCCCAUUAGCUAGUUGGUGAGGUAAUUGCUCACCAAGGCGACGAUGGGUAGCUGGAUCGAGAGGUUGACCAGCCACACUGGGACUGAGAUACGGCCCAGACUCCUACGGGAGGCAGCAGUAAGGAAUCUUCCACAAUGGACGAAAGUCUGAUGGAGCAACACCGCGUGCAGGAUGACGGCCUUCGGGUUGUAAACUGCUUUUAUAUGGGAAGAUUAUGACGGUACCAUAUGAAUAAGGACCGGCUAACUACGCGCCAGCAGCCGC